GCCCCCAACAUGCACGAGUUAACAUCAACCUAGGGUAACAGGCUGCUGGGCCAAACCCAGCUAGAAGUAGGUCACGACCGCUUUUUGCCUCGGCAGGCCGAGCGUAGCUAGCGCUAGCCUUGCGUCGUCCGCGAUACAUCCCUCAUCGUCUCCUUGUUUAAGCCGCUGAGUGUCAACAGAAACGAUCGAUGUGGUACUAAAUAAAGCGCCCCUUCUUCGCGUCUUCGGCCCAAACAGACAUCGCGUAAUGAUUGUUUUAAACCGGCUGAUCAUGUACACACGUCACCCCCUUCCAAGCCAACCACGUGUCCCGUUGCACCCUUUUUUUCCAUUUCUUGUUUGCGCCGCGCAUGUGCUGCCUACAACCGCUGGGUACUCGUCUUGAUCCAGCAUCGUGACAUUCUUUUUUGCCCCUAUGUUCUUUUUGUAGUUAAGAGGUCACCAUUUUAAGAUGAGAAAUGCUUGCAAACAACCGAGUGAUGACAUAGCACGUGUCGGCCAUGGUGACGGAUCCAGUUCAACAUAACAGGAUGCAGUGUAUUUCUUCACCCCUGCCUCGCGCUCCCAUCUUCUUCCCGUAGCCUUUAUUGCCGCACCCCCAUGUUCUCCUCUUUCCUGGCAGGGGCUGGCAAGUGGCGAAAGAUAGUAGGAGAUCUGUUGUGGCGCAACAGAUGGUGGGGCACUGACUUGUGGCGCACCGGAUGGUGGGAGAUUGGCUGGUGGAUGUGCAUGACGAGAG
rnacentral:lncRNA from 1 species